UACGAAGGGGGCUAGCGUUGCUCGGAAUCACUGGGCGUAAAGGGCGCGUAGGCGGCCGAUCAAGUCUGGGGUGAAAGCCUGUGGCUCAACCACAGAAUUGCCUUUGAUACUGUUUGGCUCGAGACCGGAAGAGGUUGGUGGAACUGCGAGUGUAGAGGUGAAAUUCGUAGAUAUUCGCAAGAACACCAGUGGCGAAGGCGGCCAACUGGUCCGGUUCUGACGCUGAGGCGCGAAAGCGUGGGGAGCAAACAGG
rnacentral:rRNA from 1 species